rnacentral:rRNA from 1 species
AUGGUUCGUGGCAUCCAUUACGGCGGUGCGUGCGCCGUCCUCCUGGCCGUCGCCGUCGCGCUCGGCCUCGGCGCCCGCGGCGGCGCGGCCCAGCUGGACGACAAGUUCUACGACGGGUCCUGCCCCGGCGUCCACAAGGUCGUGCGGCGGGUGCUGAGGGAGGCGCACAAGGCCGACGUCCGCAUCUACGCCAGCCUCACGCGCCUCCACUUCCACGACUGCUUCGUCCAGGGGUGCGACGGGUCGAUUCUGCUGGACAACAGCACGAGCAUCGUGUCGGAGAAGUACGCCAAGCCGAACAACAACUCGGUGCGCGGGUUCACGGUGGUGGACGACGUCAAGGCGGCGCUCGAGAAGGCCUGCCCCGGCGUCGUCUCCUGCGCCGACAUCCUCACCAUCGCCGCCAAGGUCUCCGUCGAACUGUCCGGAGGCCCCCGGUGGCGCGUCCAGCUCGGCCGCCGCGACGGCACCACGGCCAACCUCACCGCCGCCAACAGCCUCCUUCCCAGCCCCCGCAACAACCUCACCAUGCUCCAGCGCAAGUUCGCCGCCGUCGGCCUCGACGACACCGACCUCGUCGCCCUCUCAGGCGCGCACACGUUCGGGCGCGCGCAGUGCCAGUUCGUGACGGACCGGCUCUACAACUUCAGCAAGACGGGCAUGCCAGACCCGACGCUGGACGGGAGCUACCGGGCGCAGCUCGCCGGGAGCUGCCCGCGGCGGCACGGGAACAGGUCGGCACUCAACGACCUCGACACGACCACGCCCGACGCCUUCGACAAGAACUACUUCACCAACCUCCAGGGCAACCGCGGGUUCCUCCAGUCCGACCAGGAGCUGCUCGCGGUGCCCGGCGCGACCACGGCGGCGAUCGUCGGCCGGUUCGCGAGCGACGAGAAGGCUUUCUUCAGGAGCUUUGCCGCGGCCAUGAUCAACAUGGGGAAUAUCAAGCCGCUGACGGGCGGGCAGGGGGAGGUUCGGAGGAACUGCAGGAGAGUCAAUGGAAGCUAG